rnacentral:rRNA from 1 species
AGUGAACGCUGGCGGUAGGCCUAACACAUGCAAGUCGAACGGCAGCACAGUAAGAGCUUGCUCUUACGGGUGGCGAGUGGCGGACGGGUGAGGAAUACAUCGGAAUCUACUUUUUCGUGGGGGAUAACGUAGGGAAACUUACGCUAAUACCGCAUACGACCUACGGGUGAAAGCAGGGGAUCUUCGGACCUUGCGCGAUUGAAUGAGCCGAUGUCGGAUUAGCUAGUUGGCGGGGUAAAGGCCCACCAAGGCGACGAUCCGUAGCUGGUCUGAGAGGAUGAUCAGCCACACUGGAUCUGAGACACGGUCCAUACUCCUACGGGAGGCAGCAGUGGGGAAUAUUGGACAAUGGGCGCAAGCCUGAUCCAGCCAUACCGCGUGGGUGAAGAAGGCCUUCGGGUUGUAAAGCCCUUUUGUUGGGAAAGAAAAGCAGCAGGUUAAUACCCCGCUGUUCUGACGGUACCCAAAGAAUAAGCACCGGCUAACUUCGUG